UACGAAGGGUGCAAGCGUUACUCGGAAUUACUGGGCGUAAAGCGUGCGUAGGUGGUGAGUUAAGUCUGUCGUGAAAGCCCCGGGCUCAACCUGGGAAUGGCGAUGGAUACUGGCUCGCUAGAGUGCGGUAGAGGAGAGUGGAAUUCCCGGUGUAGCAGUGAAAUGCGUAGAUACCAUCAAGAACACCGAUUGCGAAGGCAGCUUACUAAGCUGUAACUGAC
rnacentral:rRNA from 1 species